rnacentral:snRNA from 1 species
GUCAACAGGAUUGAUUUGCAAAAUCAGUAGGAAUGAUACAGAGAAGAUCAGCAUGGCCCCUAUGCAAAGAUGACACACAUUCACGAAGCAUUCCAUAUUUUA